rnacentral:rRNA from 1 species
UGGGGAAUAUUGCACAAUGGGCGCAAGCCUGAUGCAGCGACGCCGCGUGAGGGAUGGAGGCCUUCGGGUUGUAAACCUCUUUCGCCAGUGAAGCAGGCCAUCUUCUUUGUGGGGUGGUUGACGGUAGCUGGAUAAGAAGCGCCGGCUAACUACGUGCCAGCAGCCGCGGUAAUACGUAGGGCGCGAGCGUUGUCCGGAAUUAUUGGGCGUAAAGAGCUCGUAGGCGGCUGGUCGCGUCUGUCGUGAAAUCCCCUGGCUUAACUGGGGGCUUGCGGUGGGUACGGGCCGGCUUGAGUGCGGUAGGGGAGACUGGAAUUCCUGGUGUAGCGGUGGGAUGCGCAGAUAUCAGGAGGAACACCGGUGGCGAAGGCGGGUCUCUGGGCCGUUACUGACGCUGAGGAGCGAAAGCGUGGGGAGCGAACAGG